GAUGAACGCUGGCGGCGUGCCUAAUACAUGCAAGUCGAGCGAACAGACGAGGAGCUUGCUCCUCUGACGUUAGCGGCGGACGGGUGAGUAACACGUGGAUAACCUACCUAUAAGACUGGGAUAACUUCGGGAAACCGGAGCUAAUACCGGAUAAUAUAUUAAACCGCAUGGUUCAAUAGUGAAAGACGGUUUUGCUGUCACUUAUAGAUGGAUCCGCGCCGCAUUAGCUAGUUGGUAGGGUAACGGCUUACCAAGGCAACGAUGCGUAGCCGACCUGAGAGGGUGAUCGGCCACACUGGAACUGAGACACGGUCCAGACUCCUACGGGAGGCAGCAGUAGGGAAUCUUCCGCAAUGGGCGAAAGCCUGACGGAGCAACGCCGCGUGAGUGAUGAAGGUCUUCGGAUCGUAAAACUCUGUUAUUAGGGAAGAACAAAUGUGUAAGUAACUAUGCACGUCUUGACGGUACCUAAUCAGAAAGCCACGGCUAACUACGUG
rnacentral:rRNA from 1 species